rnacentral:rRNA from 1 species
GACGAACGCUGGCGGCGUGCUUAACACAUGCAAGUCGAACGGAAAGGCCCUGCUUUUGUGGGGUGCUCGAGUGGCGAACGGGUGAGUAACACGUGAGUAACCUGCCCUUGACUGUGGGAUAACUUCAGGAAACUGGGGCUAAUACCGGAUAGGAGCUCCUGCUGCAUGGUGGGGGUUGGAAAGUUUCGGCGGUUGGGGAUGGACUCGCGGCUUAUCAGCUUGUUGGUGGGGUAGUGGCUUACCAAGGCUUUGACGGGUAGCCGGCCUGAGAGGGUGACCGGCCACAUUGGGACUGAGAUACGGCCCAGACGCCUACGGGAGGCAGCAGUGGGGAAUAUUGCACAAUGGGCGGAAGCCUGAUGCAGCAACGCCGCGUGCGGGAUGACGGCCUUCGGGUUGUAAACCGCUUUCGCCUGUGACGAAGCGUGAGUGACGGUAAUGGGUAAAGAAGCACCGGCUAACUACGUG